rnacentral:rRNA from 1 species
UUUAAUGAGAGUUUGAUCCUGGCUCAGGACGAACGCUGGCGGCGUGCCUAAUACAUGCAAGUAGAACGCUGAGGUUUGGUGUUUACACUAGACUGAUGAGUUGCGAACGGGUGAGUAACGCGUAGGUAACCUGCCUCAUAGCGGGGGAUAACUAUUGGAAACGAUAGCUAAUACCGCAUAAGAGUAAUUAACACAUGUUAGUUAUUUAAAAGGAGCAAUUGCUUCACUGUGAGAUGGACCUGCGUUGUAUUAGC